CCAUCGUUGGCCGAACCGGUCGGGGUCAGGCAAGCUCAUGCCGCGCUGCUGACAAAUCAGCGGGUUCAGGGUUCGAGUCCCUGGCGGUGUACCA
rnacentral:tRNA from 1 species